CCUACGGGAGGCUGCAGUGGGGAAUAUUGGGCAAUGGGCGCAAGCCUGACCCAGCAACGCCGCGUGAAGGAAGAAGGCUUUCGGGUUGUAAACUUCUUUUGUCAGGGACGAAGCAAGUGACGGUACCUGACGAAUAAGCCACGGCUAACUACGUGCCAGCAGCCGCGGUAAUACGUAGGUGGCAAGCGUUAUCCGGAUUUACUGGGUGUAAGGGGCGUGUAGGCGGGGAAGCAAGUCAGAUGUGAAAACCACGGGCUCAACCUGUGGCCUGCAUUUGAAACUGUGUUUCUUGAGUGCUGGAGAGGCAGGCGGAAUUCGUGGUGUAGCGGUGAAAUGCGUAGAUAUCAGGAGGAACACCGGUUGCGAAGGCGGCCUGCUGGACUGCGACUGACGUUGAGGCCCGAAAGCGUGGGGAGCAAACAGGAUUAGAUACCCCUGUAGUC
rnacentral:rRNA from 1 species